GUUCACUGAUAUAUGAUGUUGAUGUUUUAGUUGACGUCUGUUUUGAGGGAAGUGAAGUAUCUUGGAAUUCUGAAGAACCACCGCAUUCCCAAGGCUGCUGUGAGUCUGUAUUCUAAACGGAAAAUGCUUCACAUGGUGAGACUGUGUGUGGACAUCUGUGCCUUUAUGGUCUUUUAAGUAACAAGUUGCACCGUGCCAAGAAAUUAGCUCUGUUUAUUCCACUCUUUCAACCUUCUUUUGUCCCUCUCUCUCUCUGUAUGUGCGUGUUUAGUACAUUAGUACUCUGGUCCAGAUCACUCAGUGGUAUAAUAUACUACACAGCACAAUUCUGGCAGUUGAGGUGCGUUUGGUAGAGUCUGAGCUGGAGGAAGUGAGGUGUACCUUAAGGAGAAUGCUGGUCUGCUUGGUGCUGAUUUGGACUCAGAAGCUUGGCAGUCCUACACAGAACAUGUGGACAGAAGCCAUCUUACUGGGUUCUGCAGUGCUGUGCGAUGUUCCCUUAAGUACUUAGUUUAAACACAGACUCAGCGCUCCACAUUUCUCCCCUCUUUGAAGUUCAACUGACCCUUACCUCUGACGUCAUCUUUCACCCCUCACUCAGCUUCUCCAAGAAGGGAAACUUCUAUGAUAUCAUUGACCAGAUGGUAUCAGCUAUUUUUAAAAUGUCUUCUUUCAUAAAAAGAGUGGCCAAGAUCAAACUGUCUGAGACUUACAAGGUCUGUGAGUUUGAGGAUCUUUACGAGAAGGUAUGCAUGCUGCUGAAUAGAAGGAGAAGAGAGUAUUCUGUGGCUGAUUUUAGGUGGACAUAAAACCUUUUAAAAUAUCUCUGAUGAACAUCAAGAAACGGAGCUGGAUGUUUAAGGAACACUUACUGAACCAUGUUAUUGCCAGGUAAUAUUUUUUCAGAAAUUGCCCUACAGCUGACUUUUUAAACAUUUUUAUUAUUGAUUUUCCCAAAAGAACCUCCCCAAAAAAUCAUACUAGUGCAAAGCAUUGGAAUUAAUUUAUCUUUCAAGUGCAACAAU
ensembl:lncRNA